UUANANAUGCAGUCGAACGGUAGCAGGAAGGAAGCUUGCUUUCUUUGCUGACGAGUGGCGGACGGGUGAGUAAUNCUUGGGAAUCUGGCUUAUGGAGGGGGAUAACUGCGGGAAACUGCAGCUAAUACCGCGUAAAGUCUUUGGACUAAAGGGGGCGUUUGCUCUUGCCAUAAGAUGAGCCCAAGUGGGAUUAGGUAGUUGGUGGGGUAAUGGCUCACCAAGCCGUCGAUCUCUAGCUGGUCUGAGAGGAUGACCAGCCACACCGGGACUGAGACACGGCCCGGACUCCUACGGGAGGCAGCAGUGGGGAAUAUUGCGCAAUGGGGGAAACCCUGACGCAGCCAUGCCGCGUGAAUGAAGAAGGCCUUCGGGUUGUAAAGUUCUUUCGGUGAUGAGGAAGGCAGUUUGGUUAAUAGCCAAGCUGAUUGACGUUAGUCACAGAAGAAGCACCGGCUAACUCCGUGCCAGCAGCCGCGGUAAUACGGAGGGUGCGAGCGUUAAUCGGAAUAACUGGGCGUAAAGGGCACGCAGGCGGAUUUUUAAGUGAGGUGUGAAAGCCCCGGGCUUAACCUGGGAAUUGCAUUUCAGACUGGGAAUCUAGAGUACUUUAGGGAGGGGUAGAAUUCCACGUGUAGCGGUGAAAUGCGUAGAGAUGUGGAGGAAUACCGAAGGCGAAGGCAGCCCCUUGGGAAUGUACUGACGCUCAUGUGCGAAAGCGUGGGGAGCAAACAGGAUUAGAUACCCUGGUAGUCCACGCUGUAAACGCUGUCGAUUUGGGGGUUGGGGUUUAACUCUGGCGCCCGUAGCUAACGUGAUAAAUCGACCGCCUGGGGAGUACGGCCGCAAGGUUAAAACUCAAAUGAAUUGACGGGGGCCCGCACAAGCGGUGGAGCAUGUGGUUUAAUUCGAUGCAACGCGAAGAACCUUACCUACUCUUGACAUCCAGAGAAUCCUGUAGAGAUACGGGAGUGCCUUCGGGAGCUUUGAGACAGGUGCUGCAUGGCUGUCGUCAGCUCGUGUUGUGAAAUGUUGGGUUAAGUCCCGCAACGAGCGCAACCCUUAUCCUUUGUUGCCAGCGAUUAGGUCGGGAACUCAAAGGAGACUGCCGGUGAUAACCGGAGAGAGGGGGGGGG
rnacentral:rRNA from 1 species